rnacentral:rRNA from 1 species
AGCCAUGCCGCGUGUGUGAAGAAGGCCUUCGGAUUGUAAAGCACUUUCAGUUGGGAGGAAGGGGUUNAAGUUAAUACNUUUAUGUUUUGACGUUACUGGCAGAAUAAGCACCGGCUAACUCCGUGCCAGCAGCCGCGGUAAUACGGAGGGUGCAAGCGUUAAUCGGAAUUACUGGGCGUAAAGCGCGCGCAGGUGGUUUGUUAAGUNGGAUGUGAAAUCCCCGGGCUCAACCUGGGAACUGCAUUCGAAACUGGCAAGCUAGAGUCUGGUAGAGGGGGGUAGAAUUUCAGGUGUAGCGGUGAAAUGCGUAGAGAUCUGGAGGAAUACCGGUGGCGAAGGCGGCCCCCUGGA